AGUGAACGCUGGCGGCGUGCCUAAUACAUGCAAGUCGAACGAACGAAUAAGAGCUUGCUCUUAUAAGUUAGUGGCGCACGGGUGAGUAAUAUAUAGCUAAUCUGCCUCUUAGUAGAGGAUAACAGUCGGAAACGAUUGCUAAUACUCUAUACUUCUGCUUUACAUAAGUAAAGUAGAGAAAGUUUUUCGCUAAGAGAUGAGGCUAUACUGUAUCAGCUAGUUGGUAAGGUAACGGCUUACCAAGGCUAUGACGCAUAACUGGUCUGAGAGGAUGAUCAGUCACAUUGGAACUGAGACACGGUCCAAACUCCUACGGGAGGCAGCAGUAGGGAAUAUUGCGCAAUGGGGGAAACCCUGACGCAGCAACGCCGCGUGGAGGAUGACACUUUUCGGAGCGUAAACUCCUUUUAUCGGGAAAGAAUAAUGACGGUACCCGAUGAAUAAGCACCGGCUAACUCCGUGC
rnacentral:rRNA from 1 species